rnacentral:lncRNA from 1 species
CACCGACUAGAGUAGUAAGAAGGAUGAAGGAAUAACCAAAAGGGUGAGAAGAUGAUUAGCUAAACCCCCCUUUGGUGGCCGGCCCUUUGAGUGUUGAGAGAGAUAUUUUCUUUUUCUCUUUUGUUGUUUUAACACUUCAAAAAACCCUAAUGAAACUUUUUGCUAUAAAGUUCCUUUUAUAACCAAAAAAAAACAAGUCAACAUUUGACUCUCUCUCUCCCUCCUUUGGCCGGCCCCUUUAGUGUUGUUUGGGCUUUGGGCUUUUAUUAUUUCAAGUCAUCAUAUGCUUGAAUAAAAGCCCAAUGGGUUUAGGCCCAAUGGG